GGCAAAGGAAAGCGUAAUUCAGUUGUGUAUCAUAUGAUGACCACUUUGACUUCAUGUCCUUGGAAUUUUGCCUGGUGAGUGGAUGAGGGGCUGACAUUAAGUUACAUGCACACUCAACUCUCUGUUUGCAGUGAGAAGACAGACCUCGCAUGCCAGGAAUGAUGCUGAACUCUUCCUACACUGCCUCUGAUGCAUUUUUGAAUGGUAGCAAAUCUGAUCUCAAAGGAGAGAAUUGACCCUGGCCUGAUGAAGAAAAUGGGAAUCAGUCCUUUGGAAGGAUCAGGAAGCAGCUGAUUGGGCAGGGUAGCAAUCUUUCUGCAUUGAAGUCUCCAUUUUCCUUGGGACAUGG
rnacentral:lncRNA from 13 species